AUUGAACGCUGGCGGCAGGCCUAACACAUGCAAGUCGAGCGGAUGAAGGGAGCUUGCUCCUGGAUUCAGCGGCGGACGGGAGAGUCAUGCCUAGGAAUCUGCCUGGUAGUGGGGGAUCACGUCCGGAAACGGGCGCUAAUACCGCAUACGUCCUGAGGGAGAAAGUGGGGGAUCUUCGGACCUCGCGCUAUCAGAUGAGCCUAGGUCGGAUUAGCUGGUUGGUGGGGUAAAGGCCUACCAUGGCGACGAUCCGUAACAGGUCGGAGAGGAUGAGCAGUCGCCCUGGAACGGAGACCGGGCCCAGGGGCCUUCGGGCGGCACCCGUGGGGAAUAUUGGAGCAGGGGCGGGAACCUGUGCCCGCCAGGCCGCGUGUGUGAAGAAGGUCUUCUGUGUGUAAAGUACUUUUUGUUGGAGUGUAGGGCAGUAUGUUUUUACCUUGCUAUUAUGACGUUACCAACAGAAGAAGCACCGGCUAACUUCGUG
rnacentral:rRNA from 1 species